CCUACGGGGGGCAGCAGUGGGGAAUUUUGCGCAAUGGGCGAAAGCCUGACGCAGCAACGCCGCGUGGAGGAUGAAGGUCUUCGGAUCGUAAACUCCUGUCAGUGGGGACGAAAGCUCCGAAAGGGGUUUGACUGUACCCGCUGAGGAAGCCACGGCUAACUCCGUGCCAGCAGCCGCGGUAAUACGGAGGUGGCAAGCGUUGUUCGGAAUUACUGGGCGUAAAGGGCGCGUAGGCGGCUUGGCAAGUCAGAUGUGAAAGCCCCGGGCUUAACUCGGGAAC
rnacentral:rRNA from 1 species